UCAGGAUGAACGCUGGCGGCGUGCUUAACACAUGCAAGUUGCGCGGUGAUCUCAAGAAGUUUCGGACGGAAAGGGAGAGCAGCAGCGGACGGGUGAGUAAAGCACAAGGACUUGUCCCGAAGAGGGGGACAACUGUGGGAAACCACAGCUAAUACCCCAUAAGCCGAGAGGUGAAAGCAGUAAUGCGCUUUAGGAGAGACUUGUGUCCUAUCAGGUAGUUGGUGAGGUAACGGCUCACCAAGCCGAAGACGGGUAGCCGGACUGAGAGGUUGUACGGCCACAUUGGAACUGAGAGACGGUCCAGACUCCUACGGGAGGCAGCAGUGGGGAAUAUUGGGCAAUGGGGGCAACCCUGACCCAGCGACGCCGCGUGAGGGAAGACAGCCUUCGGGUUGUAAACCUCUGUUGCAGGGGAAGAAGGAAGUGACGGUACCCUGCGAGGAAGCUCCGGCAAACUACGUGCCAGCCGCCGC
rnacentral:rRNA from 1 species